rnacentral:lncRNA from 1 species
GCUACUACUGUUUCAGGGCUGGAGACUAAUUUUGCACAGAAUGCAACUGGGGGUCGAGCUAUACAUCUGACAAACUUGUCCAGCAAAUCGGCAGUGAGUAAAGUAGCAGCUGUUGCAUUACCUGGGAACAAUAUGACUGCUAUUAAGCAUGAUGAGGAGCAACAAAUGGAUGGAACUGAUGCUUUGAACACAUUAACUGCUACAGGAAAUACCGGGAAAGCAACUAUUCCAUUGCAAACAUUUGCAAAUCUUGAAAAUAGUAAUCCUCGACCUGCACCUACCUUUGGUAAUAUAGGUAUCAUUUCACCUGUUAAAUCAGUGGAAAGAUCUGCAACAAAUACUACUACAGUUGAACAACUUGAGGGGCAGCAGAUACAUUUCCAGCUGCAUCAAUCCUUGAUGGGCAAUGCUGCGACAGUUCUAGAUUCAGAUACAACACCAGCAACACGAGAUGACUAGGCAAUGGUAGGUACACAACAUGAUGCACAAGCACAUAGUUCAAAUGCACCUACUCUUCAAUUUUCAAGUCCACACAUAGAAGAAAUUAUCAAGGAAGCACAAAAGCAAUGAUGUUGAAUCCAACGCUGGUCAAGCAACCUUUGGUUACUCUAAACACCUUUGUGUUUGAAAUUCCAUCACAAUCAAGGAGUCGUGUGGUGAAGAUGAAGGUGAACCUGGGAAUCUCUUGUUAUCAAUUCAAGAUAGUCAAGAUGAUGAAUUACAUUCAGUAGGCUCAUCACCAAUACCAAAACAUUGCAGCUCACAACCAGUCCCAAAUAAUUGCAGCCCCUCGAUUUUAUGUGGUACUAUGAUGCAAAAUGCAUUAACACUAAAAUUUGGGCAGCAGCAGUGUCAUCUAAACAGUCUAGAAGCUAUUUCUAAAGCUGGUAAAUAUCCUGCACAGCAACACAAACGUGUAGGCACUCAAGGAGAUGCUAUUCCAAAUACAGGACAACAACAACAUUUUCCUAUAAGUUUUAUGGCUGGACAGCGAAGCAUACUACAGGCAUUCCACUACAACAACAACAUCACACUUCAGGUGAUGCAGCAGUAGAAUUGGACAGUGUUACACGUUCAGGUGAUAUUUCCAAAUAUAAAUUCUAGUAAUUGCUUGCAUGCUUAAUGAACUUUUUCACAGGUGAUUUCUGUUUUAAGCAUAUUCUAGAACUUCUUCUGUAUUUAAAGUGUCGGACCUCAGAACAGGUAGAGCAUUACCACUUGAAAGUUUAACUAUAUGAUCCAUUAGUUAUUAGGCACAUUAGUUCUGUAUAUACUCGUUGAUCUCAUUCUUCUAUUCUAUCUAUUCUAAGUUAUUCAAUACUAUUAUAUUUUUUCAGAUUUCACUUCGAAUAGAUACUUUUAGUGUUCAAAUAUAAGUAAAAGAUUAUUCUGAUCCUUUCAGACCUUCACGCGGACAAACUAACCAGUUGCAAAAUAUUUUGCGAACCAUUUAGCCGCUAAAAGGUAACCGUCGACAAGAGCGGUUGCUCUGAUGGUAAGCAACCUCCACUUCCAACCGAGAGGUUGUGAGUUCGAGUCUCCCGAAGAGCAAGGUGGGAAGUUCUUGAAGGGAAGGAUGUCGGGGGCCUAUUUGGAAACAGCCUCUCUAACCAAGGAUAGGGGUAAGGUCUGCGUACACACUAACCUCCCCAGACCCCACUAAGUGGGAUUAUACUGGGUUGUUGUUGUUGUUGUUAGCCGCUAAAACUCUUCUUUGUAAUGAGGUAAAAAUCAGUAAUAAGCCUAAUAAUGCACUAAAUCACCAACUAACAACAGAGUAAAAACAAUAUAUAUACAUAUAUAUAUAUAUAUAUACAUAUAUAUAUAUAUAUCAUACUCAGGCAAAAAGUUUGAACAUGUUUGAAUUCAUAUCUCGACUACCGGCAUUCAACUAAAACAUCAAUAUGCAUCAACUGACACUUAAAAUUUCUAAAAUAUCACAAAAAUAACAGCGCCUUGAAAACAGAGGAACCAAUUAAAAAACAAGAGAGUAAAAGAGGAGGAAUCAAUUCAAUCAAUCGACUAUGAAUCUAACAACAACCAAGUAUCACAAACGACUUAGUAAACACAUUAAAAAACUAUACUUUCACAAAUCCCAAAAGGCCGUAGUUGUAUAUCAAAAAUCAAAAAAUUAAAAUUGGAACCUGGUAAGCAAAAACUUUUGCCGAUUGAGAGCAGAAAUUGAAGGAGACCAAAGCUUUCUGCAAUAAUUCUUGAAACCUACAUGAAACAGAAGUUGAAGAUGAAUGAGAAGGAGAAGAUUGACAGAGGAGACUAAUAAUAAUCGAGCAGCAUAAAUCCAAAAUUAUAUAUAACUCGAUCGAGAACGACUGAGUUGGCCGGAGACCGUGGCAGGGCGGAGGCUUUUGCAGCGAUGCUAUUAACGCAAGUCGUUCUGUGUCGUUCUAAUUACAGGCGACCUGUGUCAUUCUGUAUCGUCCUAAUUACGCGCAUGUUUGAUUUUUCCUUUUUUUUUUUUUAACAGUAGGGUUUUCUAAUCUGAGGGAAUGUAAU